rnacentral:rRNA from 1 species
UACGUAGGGUCCGAGCGUUGUCCGGAAUUACUGGGCGUAAAGAGCUCGUAGGUGGUUUGUCGCGUUGUUCGUGAAAACUCACAGCUCAACUGUGGGCGUGCGGGCGAUACGGGCAGACUGGAGUACUGCAGGGGAGACUGGAAUUCCUGGUGUAGCGGUGGAAUGCGCAGAUAUCAGGAGGAACACCGGUGGCGAAGGCGGGUCUCUGGGCAGUAACUGACGCUGGAGGAGCGAAAAGCGUGGGGAGCGAACAGG